CAUAUCCAAUAAGCGGAGGAAAAGAAACCAACAGGGAUUGCCUUAGUAGCGGCGAGUGAAGCGGCAAAAGCUCAAAUUUGAAAUCUGGCUCUUUCAGAGUCCGAGUUGUAAUUUGAAGAAGGUAUCUUUGGGCCUGGCUCUUGUCUAUGUUUCUUGGAACAGAACGUCACAGAGGGUGAGAAUCCCGUGCGAUGAGAUGACCCAGGUCCGUGUAAAGUUCCUUCGACGAGUCGAGUUGUUUGGGAAUGCAGCUCUAAGUGGGUGGUAAAUUCCAUCUAAAGCUAAAUAUUGGCGAGAGACCGAUAGCGAACAAGUACAGUGAUGGAAAGAUGAAAAGAACUUUGAAAAGAGAGUGAAAAAGUACGUGAAAUUGUUGAAAGGGAAGGGCUUGAGAUCAGACUUGGCAUUUUGCAUGUUGCUUCUUCGGGGGCGGCCUCUGCGGUUUGUCGGGCCAGCAUCAGUUUGGGCGGCAGGACAAUCGCGUGGGAAUGUGGCACGGCCUCGGCUGUGUGUUAUAGCCCGCGUGGAUACUGCCAGCCUAGACUGAGGACUGCGGUUUAUACCUAGGAUGUUGGCAUAAUGAUCUUAAGUCGCCCGUCUUGAACCACGGACCA
rnacentral:rRNA from 1 species